AGGACUGUAGUUAUUAUAACAUUUGGUUUGCAUCUAAAAAGUAUUGAUUUAUUCAAUCUGUCUUA
rnacentral:tRNA from 1 species